rnacentral:rRNA from 1 species
GACGAACGCUGGCGGCGUGCCUAAUACAUGCAAGUCGAGCGGACUGAUUAAGAGCUUUCUCUUAUGACGUUAGCGGCGGACGGGUGAGUAACACGUGGGCAACCUGCCCUGUAGAUCGGGAUAACACCGAGAAAUCGGUGCUAAUACCGGGUAAUAUCUGAGAUCACAUGAUCUUAGGUUAAAAGAUGGCUCCCGCUAUCACUACAGGAUGGGCCCGCGGCGCAUUAGCUAGUUGUUAAGGUAAUGGCUUACCAAGGCGACGAUGCGUGGCCGACCUGAGAGGGUGAUCGGCCACACUGGGACUGAGAACCGGCCCAGACUCCUACGGGAGGCAGCAGUAGGGAAUCUUCCGCAAUGGACGAAAGUCGGAAGGCGCAACGCCGCGUGAGUGAUGAAGGGUUUCGGCUCGUAAAGCUCUGUUGUUAGGGAAGAAACAGUAACGAACGAACUAGGUCGGUACCUUGACGGUACCUAACCAGAAAGCCACGGCUAACUACGUG